AGUUAGUACUAUCUGGACAAUACACCUAUACCAAUGAAAUGAGUUGGACUUUUUAUAUGGGCCUCAGUAUAUACCAUCAUUUUGGAAUUUUGGGUAGCUAAAGUACUUAGCUAAAUUAGUUUUCAGUCAAAGGUAUGGCUGUUUGGCCGAAUAGCUACUUAAACAGUUGACUGCGACAUCAUUCUUCGGUCGGAAAAUUUUCAGACCACCACAUAUUACCUAAUAGGUACCUACUUUAUUAACCGAGGACCUCUGAGAGCGCGGAACUCUAAAAAGGGCUCUAAAAACCAUGUUUUGUAGUGAUGAUAAUGCAAACCAUGAUUUUCCGCUACAAUCAGGCGAAGCCACGCCCUCGUAUAAAAGGCAAGUUCACAGUCAUGGUGAAUCAAAGUGGUGACUGAAACCGGAGACAUGAAGACGCUAGUGCUAACAGUCGCUCUUUUGACGUUAUUUUAUUCAUGUGUAUUGGCAUACCAAAUUUCACUUCAAUCGCCUAGCAUUUCAUAUAAUCUCGACGACAUUGAAAAUUUGCAUCGUGAGAAAAGGCAGUUGGAAAAUUUCGAUGAUGAAUACCCGACUGGGGCAAGUCAACACGAGGAAGAAGAACCAGGAUUCUGGGACAGAAUUGUCAAAGUCGCACUUAAGUUAUUUAGUAGAUUUAUAGAAUGGUUGAACGCAUCAUAAUAAAUACCUCACUAGAAUAAUCUAAGGCGUGAUGCGGCGAGCCAGUAAUAACAGUCCUACACAACAUCAAAUGCGUGUCCAUUGUAUUGUAAUUUAUUAAUUUAAUAUUUUUAAUUGUA